rnacentral:rRNA from 1 species
UAGGGAAUCUUCGGCAAUGGACGGAAGUCUGACCGAGCAACGCCGCGUGAGUGAAGAAGGUUUUCGGAUCGUAAAGCUCUGUUGUUAGAGAAGAACGUUGGUAGGAGUGGAAAAUCUACCAAGUGACGGUAACUAACCAGAAAGGGACGGCUAACUACGUGCCAGCAGCCGCGGUUAUACGUAGGUCCCGAGCGUUGUCCGGAUUUAUUGGGCGUAAAGCGAGCGCAGGCGGUUCUUUAAGUCUGAAGUUAAAGGCAGUGGCUUAACCAUUGUACGCUUUGGAAACUGGAGGACUUGAGUGCAGAAGGAGAGAGUGGAAUUCCAUGUGUAGCGUUGAAAUGCGUAUAUAUAUGGAGGAACACCGGUGGCGAAAGCGGCUCUCUGGUAUGUAACUGACGCUGAGGCUAGAAAGCGUGGGGAGCAAACAGG